UUUAGAGUGCCUGAGUAAAAGGAUUACUAUGAUAUAGUAAAUUAUGUAGAGUAAAACUAUCUCUAAGA
rnacentral:tRNA from 1 species